rnacentral:tRNA from 1 species
GGGGCCGUAGUACAGUUGGGAGUACGCUACGCUGGCAGCGUAGAGGUCGAGGGUUCAAAUCCCUCCGGCUCCACCA